rnacentral:rRNA from 1 species
GUGGGGAAUAUUCCGCAAUGGACGAAAGUCUGACGGAGCAACGCCGCGUGAGUGAUGAAGGUUUUCGGACUGUAAAGCUCUGUUGUUUAGGACGAAAGUGCCUGUUGCGAACAGUUACAGGUAUUGACGGUACUGAACGAGGAAGCCACGGCUAACUACGUGCCAGCAGCCGCGGUAAUACGUAGGUGGCAAGCGUUGUCCGGAAUUAUUGGGCGUAAAGAGCAUGUAGGCGGGAAUCUAAGUCUGUUGUGAAAAUGCGGGGCUCAACCCCGUAUGGCGAUGGAAACUGGAUUUCUUGAGUGCAGGAGAGGAAAGGGGAAUUCCCAGUGUAGCGGUGAAAUGCGUAGAUAUUGGGAGGAACACCAGUGGCGAAGGCGCCUUUCUGGACUGUGUCUGACGCUGAGAUGCGAAAGCCAGGGUAGCGAACGGGAUUAGAUACCCUAGUAGUCC